GAACGCACCUUGCACUCUUUGGUAUUCCGAAGAGUAUGUCUGUUUGAGUGUCAUGAAACUCUCAACCCCCCUAUUUUGUAACGAGAUAGGUGUGGGCUUGGAUUAUGGUUGUCUGCUGGCGUCAAGUCAGCUCAACUGAAAUAUACGAGCAACCCAUUUGAAAUAAACGGUUUGACUCGGCGUAAUAAUUAUUUCGCUGAGGACGUUUUCUUUAAAGUUAGUGGUGCUUCUAAUGCGUUAUAAUACAUCAUAAGCUUUAGACCUCAAAUCAGUCAGGACUACCCGCUGAACUUAAG
rnacentral:misc_RNA from 1 species